rnacentral:rRNA from 1 species
AUUGAACGCUGGCGGCAGGCCUAACACAUGCAAGUCGAGCGGAGCGGAGGACGGGUGAGUAAUGCCUAGUAAUCUGCCUGGUAUUGGGGGAUCACGUCCGGAACCGGGCGCUAAUACAGCCUACUAUCAUAUGAGCCUAGGUCGGAUUAGCUAGUUGGUGGGGUAAAGGCCUACCAAGACGACGAUCCGUUACUGGUCGGAGAGGAUCAUCAGUCACACUGGCAAUGAGACACGGUCCAGACGCCGACGGGAGGCAGCAGUGGGGAAGAUUGGACAAUUGGCGAAAGCCUGAUCCAGCCAUGCAGCGUGUGUGAAGAAGGUCUUCGGAUUGUAAAGCACUUUAAGUUGGGAGGCGUUACCAACAGAAUAAGCACCGGCUAACUUCGUGCCAGCCGCCGCGGUAAUUC